GAUGAACGCUGGCGGCGUGCCUAAUACAUGCAAGUCGAGCGAACAGACGAGGAGCUUGCUCCUCUGACGUUAGCGGCGGACGGGUGAGUAACACGUGGAUAACCUACCUAUAAGACUGGGAUAACUUCGGGAAACCGGAGCUAAUACCGGAUAAUAUAUUGAACCGCAUGGUUCAAUAGUGAAAGACGGUUUUGCUGUCACUUAUAGAUGGAUCCGCGCCGCAUUAGCUAGUUGGUAAGGUAACGGCUUACCAAGGCAACGAUGCGUAGCCGACUUGAGAGGGUGAUCGGCCACACAGGAACUGAGACACGGUCCAGACUCCUACGGGAGGCAGCAGUAGGGAAUCUUCCGCAAUGGGCGAAAGCCUGACGGAGCAACGCCGCGUGAGUGAUGAAGGUCUUCGGAUCGUAAAACUCUGUUAUUAGGGAAGAACAAAUGUGUAAGUAACUAUGCACGUCUUGACGGUACCUAAUCAGAAAGCCACGGCUAACUACGUG
rnacentral:rRNA from 1 species